GAUGAACGCUGGCGGCGUGCCUAAUACAUGCAAGUCGAGCGAACGGACGAGAAGCUUGCUUCUCUGAUGUUAGCGGCGGACGGGUGAGUAACACGUGGAUAACCUACCUAUAAGACUGGGAUAACUUCGGGAAACCGGAGCUAAUACCGGAUAAUAUUUUGAACCGCAUGGUUCAAAAGUGAAAGACGGUCUUGCUGUCACUUAUAGAUGGAUCCGCGCUGCAUUAGCUAGUUGGUAAGGUAACGGCUUACCAAGGCAACGAUGCAUAGCCGACCUGAGAGGGUGAUCGGCCACACGGGAACUGAGACACGGUCCAGACUCCUACGGGAGGAAGCAGUAGGGAAUCUUACGCAAUGGGCGAAAGCCUGACGGAGCAACGCCGCGUGAGUGAUGAAGGUCUUCGGAUCGGAAAACUCUGUUAUUAGGGAAGAACAUAUGUGUAAGUAACUGUGCACAUCUUGACGGUACCUAAUCAGAAAGCCACGGCUAACUACGUG
rnacentral:rRNA from 1 species